GAUGAACGCUGGCGGCGUGCCUAAUACAUGCAAGUCGAGCGAACAGACGAGAGUGCUUGCACUCUCUGACGUUAGCGGCGGACGGGUGAGUAACACGUGGGUAACCUACCUAUAAGACUGGGAUAACUUCGGGAAGCCGGAGCUAAUACCGGAUAAUAUUUAGCUUCGCAUGAAGCAAUAGUGAAAGACGGUUCUGCUGUCACUUAUAGAUGGACCCGCGGUGUAUUAGCUAGUUGGUGAGGUAACGGCUCACCAAGGCAACGAUACAUAGCCGACCUGAGAGGGUGAUCGGCCACACUGGGACUGAGACACGGCCCAGACUCCUACGGGAGGCAGCAGUAGGGAAUCUUCCGCAAUGGACGAAAGUCUGACGGAGCAAUGCCGCGUGAGUGAAGAAGGUUUUCGGAUCGUAAAACUCUGUUGUAAGGGAAGAACAAGUACGUUAGUAACUGAACGUACCUUGACGGUACCUUACCAGAAAGCCACGGCUAACUACGUG
rnacentral:rRNA from 1 species